rnacentral:rRNA from 1 species
UACGUAGGGUCCGAGCGUUGUCCGGAAUUACUGGGCGUAAAGAGCUCGUAGGUGGUUUGUCGCGUUGUUCGUGAAAACUCACAGCUUAACUGUGGGCGUGCGGGCGAUACGGGCAGACUGGAGUACUGCAGGGGAGACUGGAAUUCCUGGUGUAGCGGUGGAAUGCGCAGAUAUCAGGAGGAACACCAGUGGCGAAGGCGACUUCCUGGCCUGUUCUUGACGCUGAGGCGCGAAAGCGUGGGGAGCGAACAGG